rnacentral:lncRNA from 1 species
CUGGGGAUGGGCUGCGAGCAGCGCGAUGCCUCCGUGCCGCCACCCGCCCCGCUGCGCCCCGUGCAUGUGGCCGCUGCCAUCUGCUGGGCUCGGCUUUCUUUAUACCCCGUUUCGCACGAAGGAUCAGCGAACUUGGGUACUUAAUUAUGUAUUAAUUGGGCGAUGGAAACUCAUUGCCGGAACACGUGGCAAUGGCGAAGUCCAACACGCGUGGAGAUGUGCCGGGCCCGCCGGUGGAGUCCGAGCAGCACUUAAACCGGUGGGGCUGAAAGUGUAGCAGCAGCUGGGUGAUAAUCGGCAGUGCUCCUUCUGGUUGCAAAGUAACACACCCGCAGAAACGUUGUUUCUCAGCACCGGAUACUUUGUUUGAGGUUGCAGUCCGGCAGCACAAAGCCAGGACAGGCCAUGUGCCGCCCGCCAUGUUUCCAAUGAGACUCCUCGGGUCGGCAGACAAAGGACCUUUCCCUGAACGGAUCUCUUGCAGAUUUUACAGUGCUUCUCCCCUGUUGCUUCUGAAAGAGGUGAUGAGCUUCCCCUACCUCCCUAUGCAUGAAAAACAGGAGGUGUGCUCUGCGUGUUUGUGUACCGGAGAAUAAAUGUUUGGAAACUCAGAACUUGGUCUACUUUCAUUACUGUUUGUCUCUGGUAACGAGGAAAAUCUCAUGUAACAGUGUUGCUGUGAAGGCCGCCACAAAUGUAGCUGAAUCUGCCCCCUACUGCUUCUGAGCCAGGAACUGAGCCAGGAUUUGAACUCCACGGUCCUUAUGGGUCCCUUCAGCUCAAGGUAGUCUACAGUUCUAUGAAAGGAAAUGCAUCUGAUGGCUCUCCUAUGAGCAGAACUCAUCCAACAGCAAAAGCAGCUCCUGGAGAUGCAGAGCCGUGCCAGUGCCGUGCUUGGACCACAUGGCAUUCAGCAGAUGUUCUUCCCUGCAAAACAUCCACCAAAUCCUUCAUCAGAUCCAUGGCUGCA